GACGAACGCUGGCGGCGUGCCUAACACAUGCAAGUCGAACGGAAAGGCCCUGCUUUUGUGGGGUUCUCGAGUGGCGAACGGGUGAGUAACACGUGAGUAUCCUGCCCUUGACUUUGGGAUAACUUCAGGCAACUGGGGCUAAUACCGGAUAGGAGAUCCUGCUGCAUGGUGGGGGUUGGACAGUUUCGGCGGUUGUGGAUGGACUCGCGGGUUACCAGCUUGUUGGUGGAGUAGUGGCUUACCGAGUCUUAGACGGGUAGCCGGCCUGAGAGGGUGGACGGCGUCAAGGGGACUAAGAGAGGGAGCAGUCGGCAAUGGGAGACAACGGGGGGAAGUAUGGCACAGUGAUCGGGAGCCUGUGAAGAAAGCGCCGGGAGUGGAAAGACGGCCUUCGGGGGAUGAACCGCUGUCGCCUGAUACGAAGCGUGAGUGACGGUACUGAGUGAAGAAGCACCGGCUAACUACGUG
rnacentral:rRNA from 1 species